AGAUGAAAGCACUAGCAUCCUGGCAAUAUUCCAGAUUGCAGAACUACAGUCUUACUACUUAUAAUUCCCCAGAUGGCUUCAAUUGGACAAGCUAUUUUUUACCCCUUUUUCUUAAAAACAUUACUUACAGUGUUGGUGCAGAAGUUUUGCUGCAUUUCCUGCUGGGGAAGGUCAUGCAGGAAGAGUGCAUGAGGGGCACUGCUAGAGGAGAAGACCUAGGGCAAGUGGUUUUGCUGAGGAAGGUAAACUGAGAAGGGUAUUUCUGUCACCUAUUCGGUCUUCAUUGGACCAGAGAUACUACCUCUAACCACGCUUCUGUGUGGUUACUACUCAUUUGGUUCAGGAGGCUGCAGAGAAGAGGAAGACUACCAGUUCCUCUUGUCCUGGGCUACUGUGCAUGUGUCAGGGGGAUCCCCUGGGAUUGCUCCUUCCUUGAGGCCAAAUGACCAAGCUCGGGCGGGAGAAGCAUGGGGGUGCCAGGCAGAGCGGGGAGAGGAGAUAUACACCCAGAAGGCUCAGCAGCACUGGGAGACUCCUAUGACCAAGAUCCAGAUAAAUUUUGGAUUUCACAUGGAAAAGAAGCUUUCCUUCAGAAUGCAGAAGGGACUUGUGAACAUUAUUACAAUUGUGAAGUUACUGAAAGUAAGUGAAGCAAGACGAAGACUAAAGAAAAGGGCCCACAUGGAAGGACACAGAUGGGAAGAAAGGGGAAAGAUUAAUUCUCAGAUAUUUUAUUUACUUCUAUCAUCCCACAGACCUGAGCCUUCCCCUCCCUCCGAGAAUCAUUGUGUUCUGGUUUAUUAGUAUAUAUUCUAUUAAGAUAGAGUAUUAGAUAUUGAAACUCCAUUUGUUGUUUCUGAUGCUCUCAUUUUAAGCAAAACAUUCGCUUCAGAGCUCUAGCUGACUUGGGGCCCCGUCACAUAACUCAAAUUUUAUUCUGACAAGGAAGCUUGACAAAAUGAAGUAAAUAAUACUUCAAAUAAGUGGCCUAGUUUAAGCACUGAUCAGUCUGUAGACUCCAAAAUGAGCCAUUUUAUGUGUCUAAGGUGUUCUUGUUCUAAAAAGAUCCCAAAGUACUUCACAAAUUUCAUAUGUGAAAACCUCUUCACCCACUAAAUAAAAAUGCCAGAUGCAUGAUGCUUAGAGAAUAA
ensembl:lncRNA